UACGUAGGGUGCAAGCGUUAAUCGGAAUUACUGGGCGUAAAGCGUGCGCAGGCGGUUUUGUAAGUCUGUCGUGAAAUCCCCGGGCUCAACCUGGGAAUUGCGAUGGAGACUGCAAGGCUAGAAUCUGGCAGAGGGGGGUAGAAUUCCACGUGUAGCAGUGAAAUGCGUAGAUAUUGGGAGGAACACCAGUGGCGAAGGCAGCUCGCUGGGACGGUACUGACGCUGAGGCGCGAAAGCGUGGGGAGCAAACAGG
rnacentral:rRNA from 1 species